CAGUAGCCGCGGUAAUACGGAGGGGGCUAGCGUUGUUCGGAAUUACUGGGCGUAAAGCGCACGUAGGUGGCUUGGUAAGUUAGAGGUGAAAGCCCAGGGCUCAACCCUGGAAUUGCCUUUAAGACUGCCGAGCUAGUAGGUGAGAGAGGUAAGUGGAAUUCCGAGUGUAGAGGUGAAAUUCGUAGAUAUUCGGAAGAACACCAGUGGCGAAGGCGGCUUACUGGCUCAUUCUAGACGCUGAGGUGCGAAAGCGUGGGAAGCAAACAGGAUUAGAUACCCCUGUAGUCCCUGUCUCUUAUAA
rnacentral:rRNA from 1 species